rnacentral:sRNA from 1 species
CCAUACAUCCAUCUCAAAUAUUCAUUCAACCAUCAUAAAUCUUCUGUUAUUGAACUUUUUAUCUAUAUAGUUUCAUCUUGUGCUAUCAUCAAUGAUACGAAGAUCCAGCGAUGAUGUGAUACCUAUCUAUAUCUAUCAAUGAUAUCUACCAAUGAAUCGACGGAUUUUGCAACAUUCUUCGCACGAAAUAAUUCCCUCUUUCAGUAAGGUGCAGUAACGAAGCGCACAAUAUAGGAUUUGACGGCGUACUCCACCAAUCUCCACCCUUCAAGCUACAUAGCUUGUGUAAAGUGGUGUUGGUGAUGUAAGAGUGGUUUUAACCUCACUACACAUCACAGUGUUGAAUCUUAUAGCCUUACUUUGUUGAAAGUGUGGAAAGAAAUAUCAAUUUUUAUUCAAAGAUCAUUAUCAAAAAUGGAAAAUCAUCAUCUUACCCGCAGCUGCUGCGGCGGCGGCGAAUCGAUUAUUGGAGCUAUCAGAGAGCCUAUUGACAACAACAUUGCAUCUGCUACACCCCCAAAUCAAGCUUGUUGAAUACACCAAAUCUCAUCCCUACAAGACAUCUGGAUAGUGCAAUUUGAUAAUUAUAUGAUUGUUAUUAAAACCCAAUUAGUACUUGACAACUAGGCGAUUCCAAUCACUUUUCAUUCACGUGCGGGGCGUUGCAAAAUCCGUCUAAUAAAUAUACCUAGCAAUGGCAUGAAGAUCUGGUGAUUAUUCAGAUUGCUCACUGCCUCCACAUCAACCAUUUGAAAAGUAUAUAUAUCACUAAGCAAG